UACAGGGGGGGCAAGCGUUGUUCGGAAUUACUGGGCGUAAAGGGCCAGUAGGCGGCCAACUAAGUCACACGUGAAAUCCCCGGGCUUAACCCGGGAACUGCGUGUGAUACUGGAUGGCUUGAAUUCGGGAGAGGGAUGCAGAAUUCCAGGUGUAGCGGUGAAAUGCGUAGAUAAUCUGGAGGAAUACCGGUGGCGAAGGCGGCAUCCUGGACCGACAUUGACGCUGAACGGCGAAAGCUAGGGGAGCAAACGGG
rnacentral:rRNA from 1 species